AGAGUUUGAUUAUGGCUCAGGACGAACGCUGGCGGUGCGCCUAUUGCAUGCAAGUCGAACGGACGGCUUAGAUUCGUCUUUGUCGUUAGUGGCGGACGGCUGAGUAACACGUAAGUGACCUACCCUGAAGAGGGGGAUAACCCCGAGAAAUCGGGCCUAAUACCCCGUAAGCUCCGGUUGCCAAGGCAGACGGAGGAGAGGUUCUCGACUCGUUCGGGUUCCGCUUUAGGAGGGGCUUGCGGUCUAUCAGGUAGUUGGUGGGGUAAUGGCCUACCAAGCCGAAUACGGGUAACCGGUGUGAGAGCAUGAUCGGUCAGAGGGGGACUGAGACACGGCCCCCACUCCUACGGGAGGCAGCAGCAGGGAAUCUUGCGCAAUGGGCGAAAGCCUGACGCAGCGACACCGCGUGGGGGAAGAAGGCUUUAGGGUCGUAAACCCCUUUUCUCAGGGAGGAGAAUGGACAGUACCUGAGGAAUAAGGUACGGCUAACUACGUGCCAGCAGCCGCGGUAAUACGUAGGUACCGAGCGUUGUCCGAAUUUACUGGCGUAAAGGGCGCGUAGGCGGCUUGUUAAGUCUUAUGUGGAAUCUCCCGGCUCAACUGGGAGGGGACAUGGGAUACUGGCAGGCUCGAGGGCAGUAGAGGGAAGCGGAAUUCCCGGAGUAGUGGUGGAAUGCGUAGAUACCGGGAGGAACACCAGAGGCGAAAGCGGCUUCCUGGGCUGUCCCUGACGCUGAGGCGCGAAAGCGUGGGGAGCAAACCGGAUUAGAUACCCGGGUAGUCCACGCCCUAAACGAUGGAUACUAGGUAUGGGGGGUAUCGACCCCUCCCGUGCCGCAGCUAACGCAAUAAGUAUCCCGCCUGGGGAGUACGGCCGCAAGGCUAAAACUCAAAGGAAUUGACGGGGGCCCGCACAAGCAGCGGAGCGUGUGGUUUAAUUCGAUGGUAAGCGAAGAACCUUACCAGGGCUUGACAUGCUUCUGAAACCCCGUGAAAGCGGGGCCUCCUUCGGGACAGAUGCACAGAUGUUGCAUGGCUGUCGUCAGCUCGUGCCGUGAGGUGUUGGGUUAAGUCCCGCAACGAGCGCAACCCUUGUCGUUAGUUACUCUGUCUAGCGAGACUGCUCCUAAAAAGGGAGAGGAAGGUGGGGACGACGUCAAGUCAGCAUGGCUCUUACGCCCUGGGCUACACACACGCUACAAUGGCCGGUACAGAGGGUCGCGAUGAUGCGAGUCGGAGCUAAUCCCACAAAGCCGGCCCCAGUUGGAAUUGCAGGCUGCAACUCGCCUGCAUGAACGCGGAGUUGCUAGUAACCGCAGGUCAGCACACUGCGGUGAAUACGUUCCCGGGCCUUGUACACACCGCCCGUCACGUCAUGGAAGUCGGCAACACUUGAAGUCGCUGGGCCAACCCGCAAGGGAGGUNNGCGCCGAGGGUGGGGCUGGUAACUGGGA
rnacentral:rRNA from 1 species